rnacentral:lncRNA from 1 species
GACAAAAACACAUUCACAAUACUUACUCUCACCAAUGUCGGGGUUACAGGGAGUUUACAACCACAAUGAACCGGCUCCAAGGCGAGGAAACAGUCAGCCUGAUCUACUCAAUGUGAAUUCACACGGUGAGGCAUCUGGUUAGUAUUCAAACCCAAAACUACACUAUGAUUCAAUUAAAAAGUAUUACUGUGGUACUCUUCACUGUCCAUUUGCAUUGCAUCCAAUUUCUUAGACUCUAAUACCUCUUCUAAGUGGACCACAACAGACACCAGCAACCAUUCAACCAAGGUAAGAAGUUUGUACCUGUUUAGAAAAACGUUUUUUCUUUUUGCCAACACGGCCCAAAUCUGAAAUUCUGUGAUCUUUUUUUGCAAUUGGGGCAUAUUGCAGUUUGUUUUAUGCACAGUAGGGGAGGCAGAGACUAGUGUCUUGAUCUUUGUGAUCUCGUGGUUACCACCCACCACCCCUUUUUUCCUCUCAUACAUUACACAAUGCUGUAUAGGUGCAAACGGGAGCAAGUACUUUUAGAAAUACAGUACAUACAUCUCAGCACAGACAUGCAAACACUAUGUUAGUCACUAUUUUUAAUUCACAUCUCAGUAAUGCAGAGAUGACUCACUGCUAAUGAUUUUUUCUCAUAGAAAAUUAGGAUGAGUGAAGAGGAGCAGAUUGACAAAAUGAAGAUGAACCAGCAGAAAAUUAUAAAUAAAAAGAAGAUGCACGGUCUGAUGACAGAUGUCCAAAACCACGAACAAACUUCACAAACACAAGACGAGACACCUUUUCCUUUGAGAGUUACGCGUGUGGUCACAGCUGUCCUGCCGUCGUCGCUUGUGGCUCGAAAAGUGUCUGUGGAAGACCCCCCACCUGAACUGGAUGUGCCGUUGCUGGAACAAAUCCCACAAGAGCUGCAGCACAGUGAACAGAACAGGGAGCUCCCACUCAGAAACACAAGCAGGCAGCAACAGCAGGAAGUCUUCAACCCAUCAGUGCAGGAGACAGAAGCUGCAAGAGCCAGACCUGCUGAGGAUGCAAAAAGCCAAGGCCGAGACCAAGGAGGGUGUGAAAACCGUAGUCUUGAAAACAGGGUAAGUGUGAAAUGUGAUCUGUUAGAAGCACAAUCUGUUAAGUAUUGAUGUAAUAUGUAUUCCUCUGGGAACAGGAGGAGCGAUGCAGUGCCCUCUUCACCUCUGAAGCACACCCAGACCUCUGCCUGACCCCGGAGCAGCGCGAGGCUAAACUGAGACGAGUAGAGCGCAUUCGGGAGAGAGUCAUACGGAGGUGAGACCCUUCUGUUCCUCCUCUGUUUUUAAAGUACAUUGCAUCAUU